GACAACCUAUGCACAGCAGGGGAGAAGGCAGUGGCGCCCACUCCAGCACUCUUGCCUGGAAAAUCCCAGGGACGGAGGAGUCUGGUGGGCUGCAGUCCAGGAGGUCGCACAGGGUUGGACACGACUGAGCGACUUAGCAGGAGCAGCAGCAUGCACAGUUGCACAUGGAUCUUCUCAAUCGCUGGCCACACACCCUUCAAGCUGAAAUCUUCCUCUUUGAAUAUUUCCAUGCUGGUUACAAGGAGCUGGAUUCUACUUCUCCCUAAGAUGCUCUGACCCAAAGGCUGAAAGCUGCCAGUGAGGCCUCCAACCACAUUAGCUGGAAGAGAAUCUAGAUGGUGUGGACUUCAUCCCACAGCUUGGUUAUUGUGGAUAAUGCCGCAACAAUCCUGGAAGAACAGAUGCCUCUUCAAGAUGCUGUUUUCAUUUCUGGAAUGUGCCUUGUGACCGCAGAGGUAGCUGGAGCACGGAUCCGACGAGCUGCCAUUUCAGUGAGUGGAGGGAAAGCAAGAGACGGGGAAGAUAAUCCAGGUGAACCAGGAUUUGUUUUUAAAUUGAAUUUCUUGAACUUCCCUGGUGGUGCAGUGGAUAAGAAUCCACCUGCCAAUGCAGGAGACAUGGGUUCGACCCCUGGUCUAGGACUGUCCCACACGCCACAAGGCACCUAAGCCCGUGUGCCGUAGCUACUGAGCUCUUGCUCCACAGCAAGAGAAGCUUCUCACUGCAGUGAGAACCCAGGAACCACAAGGAAGAGUAGCCCCCUACUCAAUGAACCUAGAGAAAGCCCUAGCAAAGCAAUGAUGACCCAGCACAGCCAAAC
ensembl:lncRNA